UCCUCAGUAGCUCAGCCGGUUAGAGCGGCGGACUGUUAAUCCGUAGGUCGUUGGUUCGAGUCCAACCUGGGGAGCCA
rnacentral:tRNA from 11 species